GCCUGGAUGGCUCAGUUGUUUAGAGUGUGAUGCUGAUAAUGCCCAAGGUUGCAGGUUCGAUUCCUGUAGGGGGCA